GACGAACGCUGGCGGCGUGCCUAAUACAUGCAAGUUGAGCGCUGAAGGUUGGUACUUGUACCGACUGGAUGAGCAGCGAACGGGUGAGUAACGCGUGGGGAAUCUGCCUUUGAGCGGGGGACAACAUUUGGAAACGAAUGCUAAUACCGCAUAAAAACUUUAAACACAAGUUUUAAGUUUGAAAGAUGCAAUUGCAUCACUCAAAGAUGAUCCCGCGUUGUAUUAGCUAGUUGGUGAGGUAAAGGCUCACCAAGGCGAUGAUACAUAGCCGACCUGAGAGGGUGGUCGGCCACAUUGGGACUGAGACACGGCCCAAACUCCUACGGGGGGCAGCAGUAGGGAAUCUUCGGCAAUGGACGAAAGUCUGACCGAGCAACGCCGCGGGAGUGAAGAAGGUUUUCGGAUCGUAAAACUCUGUUGGUAGAGAAGAACGUUGGUGAGAGUGGAAAGCUCAUCAAGUGACGGUAACUACCCAGAAAGGGACGGCUAACUACGUG
rnacentral:rRNA from 1 species